rfam:Picea glauca, whole genome shotgun sequence.
AUGUAAAUUCCUACAACAUAGUGUAAUGCACCUGAUCCCAUUAGAACUUCAUAGUUAAGUGCGCUCAAGCUAGAGUAGUAUUAGUAUGGGUGACCGCUCAAGAAGUCCUAGUGUUUUACAUG